UAGAAACCUUCACCUCUGGCCAUUAAGGUUUAUAGUGGGGACCAAUUCUUAGCCACAACUAACCUGCCAACUUUCUUUUCUAGAAGAGGGCUGGAUACUACUUCCCAGCAGAGUCUGGAAGAGUCCCUUCUCUGGAAACAGUGGUACUACUAUGAAAAGAGGCCUGGGCUCUGGUAGCAGUUUCCUAUAAGACCUAGAUCAAGUCCCUUCCCUUCCCUGGGUCUCUGUUUCCCUAUUUAUAAAAUGAAGGGAUUGGACUAGCGCUAUCUAAGACCUAGUCUAGCUCCAAGUAUCUGAACACCAUGUUUGUGCUGUCUGCAGGACAAAGCCACGCCCAGGGCAGGCUCCUAGGAUUCCCCAAGUCAGUCCCUGGUCCUGAGAGAGACUGAGCCCGGGAAGCAGCUGUGUCAGGAAGCCAGAUGGAGCAGCCUCAGGGGACCAGCCACCUAGAACCCAGGGAUAGCACUUACUCGUCCAGGCAGCAUCUGCCGAGUCUCUCUCAGCCUUCCCUCACCUCCAUCUGGUCAUCUCCCUCUUCCUCCUCCAUUCACUGUCAGCCUCCAAAACUAGGGUGCAUAGAUCACAGACCCCAAAAAGAUGAUGCUGAAGACAAGAUGGUCAAACCCUCAGUGCCUUUGGAACUGACUGGGAUAUGCCAAGUUGAAGUUCUCCUACCUAACUUUCAAGAGGUUCCCAAGAGAAAAGUCAAGGCUACUAUCAGUGUGGAAUGGAAAAAGACAGCUAGGUUCAAACCCACUUGGUCCCAAAGGCUUUGGGGCACCUGGGUCCAGCCAUGAGCCAAGUCCCCAAGACUCCUUCCCUGUCUCCACUCCAACCCUCCCAAACUAGGAAGAACCCUUAGCUCCUGAUAGGGAGCCAAGUAAGGCACAUGAAAUAAAGCGGGGCCCCUUGUAAGGCAUGGCCUCUUCUGCCAACUCAUCUCCAACUGCUCUGACAUAUGGAGCUUGUAUAGUAUAGCAGGGUAGCCUCCCUUCAUUCAGGACCCUGGGCUUUGAUCCUGUAUUUGACCGUCCCUGGGUGAUCCGAGGCUCAGCCAUCCCCUCGGCUCCCUGAGCAUCAGUUUGCUCAUGUGUAAGACAAGACUUCCAUUCCCUCUCUUCUCACGGAGCUGUUGUACAGAAAGUGCUUUGUAGACUUUAAAGCAUGAACAGAAAUAGGAAAUGACUAUUAUCAGAACUGCUCAGAUGGGGGUGCUCAAAGGGUUUUUUAGUGGAGAAACAAUCUGGGAGCCUUUUCACGGAGGUUUUCUCCCACAGGUUCCCUUUAAAGCUAAGCAGACUGCCUGUCCCCAACCCCACAACUGAGAGGAAGUGAGCCCAAUGAGAGGCUUGUCAAGUGCCCAGCUAGGUCUAAGUUUACCCAUCACCCCAGCAGAGUGAAAAGAUUACUGGACCAAGGGUCAGAAGACUUAGGUUCAAAAGCUACUCUUACUACAGUGUCAUCUGUGUGUGUGCACCCGCACUUGUGUGGCAACAGACAAGUCCUUUCCCCUCUCUGGGACUCAGCUGCCUCAGCUGUAAAAGACGUGGGGACCAGAUGAUUUGGUUUACUUUUGAUUCUCAAUUCCAUCACUCUAAAAUUGAGGAAGGAGGAGGGGGAAGGGAAGGAACUUCACUUGGUCCAGCAGGCCCUUCAGCUCCCAGAGCAAGGCAGAGUUCUGACUAAAGACAUGGUAAUGGCCCAGGCUGAGACAACCCAGGGGACCCGAAGGCUGGUCAUUUCACCCCAUGGAAAGCAGAGGAUCCAGCUGGUGGCAGGAUUCAGAGCAUGUGGCAGCCAACCCUGUCCUAACAGGCAGUGAUGGAGGAGGGGACAGAGGCCAAGUGUUUCGGUUCCAGUCCAAGAGGUGCUUCUUGCAGCCACGACACCUGCUCAGCCCCAUUACUGGGAAGAGGAGCAGGCAGAAGAGCCUGAAGGUUUUCCCCAGGGCAGUGACACAGUUUGGAAGGCAAGCCCCAGUUUUGUGGAGAGCCAGUUCUUUUCCCGGGUGCAGUGUGACAAGGCCGGCCAAAAUCAUCCUCACCUGUCUACCUGGCACACACCUGAUCCAUAAUGGGCUUGGCCUAGGCUGCCCAGGGCCUGCUGUCAAGUGAAGCUCCAAAGACCCACAGAAGAGCCUGUGGCUGUGCACAUCCU